rnacentral:lncRNA from 1 species
UUAUUAUUAUAAUUAUUUUCCCUCGGUCUCCAUUUAAAUUCUCUAAUUUCUCGUAUAGGACUACUGGGGUGACGUCAUACCUCGGUGAUGGAACGUACUCCACCUAUCGAGAAUGAUUUCGUUUUCUGAGAGAAUUUGACGUUCACCUUGGCGGAGAAACGUCUCUCGUUCGUCACUUGGUUUGUGGCUGCUAAUUAAGUGGGUUGGUUUGGUACUUGGUACUGGUACCAUGAAAUGGCGAAUGAGUUCCAUACACCUUAUUUUAUAACAUCAAUCCAGUUUUUUUAAGUAAAAAGUUACCAGCAAGGGUUGUCUGGAGUUAGGGAGACAUGUGUGUGACAACUCCUGUUGGAGCCUAAUAGGAAUCAUUCGCCAUUUGGAAGAAACCCUAACAUGAAACCGUAGCCCUUUGACCACCCAGGGAAACCACUGCAGCCACGGCCAAGUCACCAUUGGGAAUAUGUCUAAUUGGGAGCAAGCUAUGGGAGCGUUCCAGCUCAAUUUUCGUCUUGGCACCUGGGCCUACAGGAAUCAUGGGGUCGCACCAUCCUGGUGCAUCAUUUUCUAGGAUGCAACCGCAACCUCGUUUGGGAACAUUUAGUGAGGUGUUUUAGUAACUAUUGGUUUCUUUUUAUAUUUCAGACUAUCUGUUAAAUA